rnacentral:rRNA from 1 species
UACGUAGGGUGCAAGCGUUAAUCGGAAUUACUGGGCGUAAAGCGUGCGCAGGCGGUUUCGUAAGUCUGUCGUGAAAUCCCCGGGCUUAACCUGGGAAUGGCGAUGGAGACUGCGAGGCUAGAGUUUGGCAGAGGGGGGUAGAAUUCCACGUGUAGCAGUGAAAUGCGUAGAGAUGCGGAGGAACACCGAUGGCGAAGGCACCCU